rnacentral:ribozyme from 12 species
UACAAAUAAAAAGAUAAAAUAAAAAUAAUACUAAAUCAUGUGCAUACUUCAUAAGUUCUAUCUUCAUUACUUUGCUUUCUCGUCUCCUAAAUUGAGACUUUCAUACGUGUGUCCCGAUGGCAAGGGGAAACCAUCAACCCUACCAAAACCAAAAAAGGAUAUAUCAGCAAAUGAAACGUUAGCUUUCCCUCUAAUUAUCAAGAGAGAAUA